AGUGAACGCUGGCGGCGUGCCUAAUACAUGCAAGUCGAACGGAGUGGCGCACGGGUGAGUAAUAUAUAGCUAAUCUGCCCCUUGCUGGAGGACAACAGUUAGAAAUGACUGCUAAUACUCCAUAGCAAGGGAUGAGACUAUAUCGUAUCAGCUAGUCGGUGGGGUAACGGCCUACCGAGGCUAUGACGCGUAACUGGUCUGAGAGGAUGAUCAGUCACCUGGGACCUGAGACACGGGCCAAACUCCUACGGGAGGCAGCGGUAGGGAAUAUUGCGCAAUGGGGGAGUGCGUGACGGAGCAACGGCGCGUGGAGGAUUACACGUUUCGGAGCGUAAACUCAUUUUGUUAGGGAAGCGGUACCUAACGAAUAAGCACCGGCUAACUCCGUGCCAGCAGCCGCGGUAAUUC
rnacentral:rRNA from 1 species